ACUCUGGGAUAAGCCUGGGAAACUGGGUCUAAUACCGGAUAUGACUCCUCAUCGCAUGGUGGGGGGUGGAAAGCUUUUUGUGGUUUUGGAUGGACUCGCGGCCUAUCAGCUUGUUGGUGGGGUAAUGGCCUACCAAGGCGACGACGGGUAGCCGGCCUGAGAGGGUGACCGGCCACACUGGGACUGAGACACGGCCCAGACUCCUACGGGAGGCAGCAGUGGGGAAUAUUGCACAAUGGGCGAAAGCCUGAUGCAGCGACGCCGCGUGAGGGAUGACGGCCUUCGGGUUGUAAACCUCUUUCAGUAGGGAAGAAGCCCUCUUUGGGGGUGACGGUACUUGCAGAAGAAGCGCCGGCUAACUACGUGCCAGCAGCCGCGGUAAUACGUAGGGCGCAAGCGUUAUCCGGAAUUAUUGGGCGUAAAGAGCUCGUAGGCGGUUUGUCGCGUCUGCUGUGAAAGACCGGGGCUCAACUCCGGUUCUGCAGUGGGUACGGGCAGACUAGAGUGCAGUAGGGGAGACUGGAAUUCCUGGUGUAGCGGUGAAAUGCGCAGAUAUCAGGAGGAACACCGAUGGCGAAGGCAGGUCUCUGGGCUGUAACUGACGCUGAGGAGCGAAAGCAUGGGGAGCGAACAGGAUUAGAUACCCUGGUAGUCCAUGCCGUAAACGUUGGGCACUAGGUGUGGGGGACAUUCCACGUUUUCCGCGCCGUAGCUAACGCAUUAAGUGCCCCGCCUGGGGAGUACGGCCGCA
rnacentral:rRNA from 1 species